GGGAGCGUGUGGCCGGCUGGUGCCGCCCUCGGUCUUCAAAACCGAUGAGGGAUCGUGAAAGCGACCCCUGGUGGGUUCGAUUCCCAUACGCUCCC
rnacentral:tRNA from 1 species